ensembl:lncRNA
ACCUGUAGAUCUGCUCGCUCUCUGACAGCUGAUACGCACCUCCCCCUUCCGGGUUUACCUGGCUGCAGGUUCGGCAGACGCUCGGCACUCUCUGCAGGGUUGUGCAAAUUGUUCCACCGUGCAGGCGCUGGCAGGUCGGACUGCGUGUUUGCUCGUUUUGUCCCGGAGCUAUGCCACGCUGAGGUCCCGACUGCCCUGACCCGUUUUGGACUGCUGCUGCUUUGUGUGGGGAUAAAACCCACACUUUUUACGGACCUUGCCUGCUGCUGCGUUCGGGUGCUGAGGGCCUCACUGGUGAUCCUGUUUGGUGAUGGUGUCCCUUCGUGUGUAGUGUCUUAUUCACUCCCCUCCUUUGUUUUGCUUUGCCCUUGUGUGUUUGGAGUGUUAAUUUUGGAUUGUGGUGCUCCCAUUUUAAGUUUAUACUUUCACCCCUCACUCACCUUGAGCACAAAUGCCCCAGCCCUGGAAUACAUGAUAAUUUAUACAAAU